UUAAGACUUGUGCAAGUCCACAGUUCUCUUCCUGAUACAGUGGCUGGUUUCUUUCGACUUUCCCAUGAUGUUACACGAGGUAAGCAGUGAGUUUCAGGUGUGCCUUAAAUGACACCAGCAAUUAACUCAGGUAUUAUUAAUAAACCUGUCAGACGCUACCAGACAUGGCAUCGAAUGUCUCAAAUUGUUUAAAGGCACAGUAAUCUUAGUGUAUUUGAACUUUUGACUGAAGAAAGUCAUAAAAACUGUCUUAAAAAAUUCUCUCUCAUUAUUUAGCAAAUAGAAAAAGAAAUUGAUGGGAAAACUUUAUUCUGAUUUCCCACCAGACAGUUUGAAAUAAACACGUCUUCUUUUAUAUAGUUUCAGGUUCCGAUUGUAUGUUAGAAUAGGCAGAUUAAGUCUUUAGCUUUAAAAUAAGUUAUGAAUUUAUAUGUCAGUAGCUUUUGAUUCCUCAUACAAAUGAACAAUUGGUGUAAAUUGACUUCACAAUGACUGCAAAGUUCAAAUCAUCUCACCCAGUAACUAUAAAAAACAGCAUCUCUUGUGACUUAAGACACUCUCAUCAGUAGGGAAAUUAAAAUCAAAUGAAAUUUCAUUGACCAAAUCGUAAUUGAGCCAUGUAAAUCAGUUUUUUUGUCCUGCUGGAGAAUUUCUAAUAUGCAGAUUGAUUGUUUUGUUCGCUUCUACUGUCUCUCUGAGAGCUGCAUACCGAUCCAGCAUGACAAUCCAAGAAACAGGCUUCCCUCCUUUUCUUUUCCUCUCAUGUCUCAGGGAAUGAAAAGGAGUCCCGAGAGUGCUGGCCAAGUCAAGCUAGACCGGUAGAGCCGCUAUCUUGGAAGUAUCUGUCUUUGUUAAAUGUGAUUUCCAGUAUUUGUGCUGUUGGCUGGAACUCCAGUCAGCCAGAUUUUAUGUCCUGCAUGCAACAGGAAGAAAGGCAAAACCAAAUGAUUAAAUUACACGAAACCAUACGAAGCUAGGGUUAGAAACCGUUUAGUGUCACAGUCCAGCUAAAUCAGUUUAAAAGAUGCAUUGGUUUCUUUAUGGUGAGCAAUCUCUACCGCAGAUUUGAAUAAGGAUCGCUAGUUUUUUGUAAGUUUCUUAAAAUUAAAAUUUGUUGAGUUGAUGAAUCAAGUAGGGUAACAAUUCAGCUAAAAUUCAGAGGAAAAUUUACCAGCAUGUGGUGAUUAAUAUAAUCAAUAUUUAAAAUAGAUAAUUCAACUAAGACCCAACCACUAAGGAUUUAAGUAUCCUUAACACACAAAAAAGCAAACCUAAAGAGCAAAGCUACUAAAAUGUAAAUGAAGGAGUUAAUUCAACAUUUUCCUGAAACUGUGCCACCCUAAUUCAGAAGCAGGACUAGUACUUAAUUAUUUAAAGAUUUUAAAAUGUCUUUUAUGUGUCUUGGCUUUUGUGCAGGGAAAUCAUUUUUGAGCUUUACACAUUUUGGUGAUUAUGGGUUGCCUCAUGCGGUUGUAAUGACUAGACCAACGAUUCAGUGUGGUUAUUACGAAGGGACUUUAGAGAAAAGCAGUU